GGUCAAGCUACAAAGAGCGUAGAGUGAAUGCCUUGGCAUCAAGAGCCGAUGAAGGACGUGGUAAGCUGCGAAAAGCUUUGGUAAGCCGCAAACGGGCGUUACAACCAGAGAUAUCCGAAUGGGGAAACCCAGUCAAGUAAACCUUGGCUAUUAUAUACUCAAUAAAUAGGUAUAUAAGGGGAACGUAGGGAACUGAAACAUCUAAGUACCUAUAGGAGUAGAAAGAAAAAUCGAUUUCCUAAGUAGUGGCGAGCGAAAGGGAAACAGGCCAAACCAGGUUAUUUAUAAUCUGGGGUUGAGGACUGCGAUGUGGCAAGAUUAAGGAUAACAGAAUUGUUUGGGAAAGCAAACCGAAGAAGGUGAAAGUCCUGUAAGUGAAAUCCAAGAGAAGCCUAGCAGUAUCCAGAGUACCACGAGACACGAGAAACCUUGUGGGAAGCAGGAGGGACCACCCUCCAAGCCUAAAUACUACUUGAUGACCGAUAGAGGAUAGUACUGUGAAGGAAAGGUGAAAAGAACCCCGGGAGGGGAGUGAAAGAGAACCUGAAACUCUAUGUUUACAAGCAGUGGAAGUACGAUUUAACGUACGACUACGUACUUAUUGUAGAACGGUCCGGCGAGUUAUUUGUAGUGGCAAGGUUAAAUACAAGAAUGUAUGGAGCCGAAGGGAAACCAAGUCUGAAUAGGGCGAACAGUCACUGCAAAUAGACCCGAAACUGGGUGACCUAUCCAUGUGCAGGUUGAAGUUACCGUAAAAGGUAAUGGAGGACCGAACUCACGUAUGUUGAAAAAUGCGGAGAUGACGUGUGGAUAGCGGAGAAAUUCCAAUCGAACCCAGAGAUAGCUGGUUCUCCUCGAAAUAGCUUUAGGGCUAGCGUUUAUUUAGUCUAAUGGAGGUAAAGCACUGAAUUUCCUAGGGGGGCGAGAGCCUUACCAAAGAAUAUCAAACUAAGAAUGCCAUAAAGAUAGAAUAAGCAGUCAGACUAUGUGUGAUAAGAUUCAUAGUCAAAAGGGAAAGAGCCCAGACCAACAGCUAAGGUCCCAAAGUGUAUGUUAAGUGGAAAAGGAUGUGAGAGUUCAGAGACAACUAGGAUGUUGGCUUAGAAGCAGCCAUUCAUUAAAAGAGUGCGUAAUAGCUCACUAGUCGAGAGGUCUUGCGCCGAAAAUGUCCGGGGCUAAAACAUACCACCGAAGCUAUGGAAUUAGCGAAUGCUAAUUGGUAGAGGAGCGUCGUAAAAAUGAUGAAGCCAUAUCGAAAGAAGUGGUGGAGAGUUUACGAGUGAGAAUGCCGGAAUGAGUAGCGAGAUAUAAGUGAGAAUCUUAUAGGCCGAAUAUCUAAGGUUUCCAGGGUAAAGCUGAUCUGCCCUGGGUAAGUCGGGACCUAAGGCGAGGACGAAAGUCGUAGUCGAUGGACAACUGGUAGAAAUUCCAGUACUACCUAUAAUGAGAAAUGUAGGGACACAGGAAGAAGAGGGAAGCACGGAAUGGAAAACCCGUGUGAAAAUGCAAAGGUGCAUCCUUGAGGAAAAACCCAAGGACGAGACUGAAGUAUGAUAGGACCGAAUAAAAGUAGGGAAGUCCCAUAAUCUAAACUGUCAAGAAAAGCUACUAUUUAAUUAUAGGUACCCGUACCGUAAACCGACACAGGUGGAUGAGGAGAGAAUCCUAAGGCCGACGGGAGAAGUGUUGUUAAGGAACUCGGCAAAAUGACCCCGUAACUUCGGGAGAAGGGGUGCCAAGGGAAACCUUGGUCGCAGAGAAAAGGCCCAAGCAACUGUUUAACAAAAACACAGGUUUCUGCUAAAUCGAAAGAUGAAGUAUAGGAGCUGACGCCUGCCCGGUGCUGGAAGGUUAAGGGGAGAGGUUAGGAAACGAAGCUUUGAACUUAAGCCCCAGUAAACGGCGGCCGUAACUAUAACGGUCCUAAGGUAGCGAAAUUCCUUGUCAGGUAAGUUCUGACCCGCACGAAAGGCGUAAUGAUUUGGGUACUGUCUCGACA
rfam:Epulopiscium sp. AS2M-Bin001 AS2M_MBin01_14, whole genome shotgun sequence.